ensembl:snRNA U6 U6 spliceosomal RNA
GUGCUUUCUCCAGCAGCACAUGUACUAAAAUUUAAACAAUGCAGAGAAGAUUAGCCUGACCUCUACACAGGAGUGAUAUGCAAAUUCAUGGGGCAUUACAUAAAAAU